rnacentral:lncRNA from 1 species
AUUCCCUUUUAUAGUAACCUUUUGUAUAUGAGAUUGUAGAUGAAAAUUUAAAUCGUGAUAUUGAAUCUUACCAGAGAAUAAAAUGCACUUAGUAUCUGAAGUUAUUUGUCAAUAACUGGUGAUCAGACUAUUUCAAACGAAUACGUUUUUAAGGGCUGAGAAGGUGAAAGUUAGAAGUCUGCAGACUGCAACGUAAAUCAAUUUUCAACACAUGGUUUCCUGAAUAUAUUUAGUUUUCGAUUGAAAUGAGAAUAAACUGAAC